rnacentral:rRNA from 3 species
GGACGGGGACAACAGUUGGAAACGACUGCUAAUACCCGAUGUGCCGAAAGGUGAAACCUAAUUGGCCUGAAGAAGAGCUUGCGUCUGAUUAGCUAGUUGGUGGGGUAAAGGCCUACCAAGGCGACGAUCAGUAGCUGGUCUGAGAGGAUGAGCAGCCACACUGGGACUGAGACACGGCCCAGACUCCUACGGGAGGCAGCAGUGGGGAAUUUUCCGCAAUGGGCGAAAGCCUGACGGAGCAACGCCGCGUGGGGGAGGAAGGUCUUUGGAUUGUAAACCUCUUUUCUCAAGGAAGAAGUUCUGACGGUACUUGAGGAAUCAGCCUCGGCUAACUCCGUGCCAGCAGCCGCGGUAAUACGGGGGAGGCAAGCGUUAUCC